rnacentral:lncRNA from 1 species
UUUUGAUAAGAGUGAUGAUGAAAAUCGACAACAGUCGAAAGGGUUUUGAUGAAAAUUGCUUAGGAUUUUUGCAUAGAGAAUGAUGAUGAAGUUAGAGCGUUAAUAGGUAAACAAAAAGUUAGAGACAAGUUCUUUGAAGUAUUUCAUGCAAAACAAUUUUUAGAGAAAAGCAAUUUGUAUUAAUUAAUUAAAAAUAAAAUAAAAAGCAAAAGGGCUAUAGCGCAAUAUUCUGGGAACGCAAUUAAAAGAUCUUUCACGCAGAUUUUCAAGGAAAACCGAGAUAUAUGAG